rnacentral:rRNA from 1 species
ACGCAUGCAUGGGCGCAGCCUGAUGCAGCGACGCCGCGUGAGGGAUGACGGCCUUCGGGUUGUAAACCUCUUUCAGUAGGGAAGAAGCGAAAGUGACGGUACCUGCAGAAGAAGCGCCGGCUAACUACGUGCCAGCAGCCGCGGUAAUACGUAGGGCGCAAGCGUUAUCCGGAAUUAUUGGGCGUAAAGAGCUCGUAGGCGGUUUGUCGCGUCUGCCGUGAAAGUCCGGGGCUCAACUCCGGAUCUGCGGUGGGUACGGGCAGACUAGAGUGAUGUAGGGGAGACUGGAAUUCCUGGUGUAGCGGUGAAAUGCGCAGAUAUCAGGAGGAACACCGAUGGCGAAGGCAGGUCUCUGGGCAUUAACUGACGCUGAGGAGCGAAAGCAUGGGGAGCGAACAGGAUUAGAUACCCUGGUAGUCCAUGCCGUAAACGUUGGGCACUAGGUGUGGGGGACAUUCCACGUUUUCCGCGCCGUAGCUAACGCAUUAAGUGCCCCGCCUGGGGAGUACGGCCGCAAGGCUAAAACUCAAAUGAAUUGACGGA